GAUGAACGCUGGCGGCGUGCCUAAUACAUGCAAGUCGAGCGAACAGAUGAGGAGCUUGCUCCUCUGACGUUAGCGGCGGACGGGUGAGUAACACGUGGAUAACCUACCUAUAAGACUGGGAUAACUUCGGGAAACCGGAGCUAAUACCGGAUAAUAUAUUGAACCGCAUGGUUCAUUAGUGAAAGACGGUUUUGCUGUCACUUAUAGAUGGAUCCGCGCCGCAUUAGCUAGUUGGUAAGGUAACGGCUUACCAAGGCAACGAUGCGUAGCCGACCUGAGAGGGUGAUCGGCCACACUGGAACUGAGACACGGUCCAGACUCCUACGGGAGGCAGCAGUAGGGAAUCUUCCGCAAUGGGCGAAAGCCUGACGGAGCAACGCCGCGUGAGUGAUGAAGGUCUUCGGAUCGUAAAACUCUGUUAUUAGGGAAGAACAAAUGUGUAAGUAACUAUGCACGUCUUGACGGUACCUAAUCAGAAAGCCACGGCUAACUACGUG
rnacentral:rRNA from 1 species